CCAGCUCCAGGCAGCUCCUGAUAAGCAGUGCUGUUUGCAGAGGAACCCUCUGUGGACCCCACACGGUCUUUGCACAUGAUGUAAAACUCCAAAUGAAGCUGUCAUCCUAACAUAAUGGGUGUCACAUAUACAAAGCUGCUGCAAUGAUGUCUCCAUUUUACUUGGUAUGGCAGUCAUGGCAAUGGUGGAGGCAAGAGCCAACUUCCCAAGGUCAUUGGUAGGGUUUAGGUGUGUCCCACAUUUACUUAAGGCCCUGUUGCUCUGAGCUUGGAGAUUAUCUGGGAGUCUGCUGAGGCCAUCCACCCCCUUAUUUUCCAGCUGAAGAGAGAUGGGAAGCCUGAGGCACAUGUCGACUUCAGGAGCACAGUAGAGUGGACCACGUGCGUGAGGCUGAUGACCAGAGAUAAAGAAACAGCCUCAGAAGCACUGAGCAAUCUUCCCAAGGUCACAGAGCUCCAGCUGGAACUGGGCUCCCGGUCACCUGAUUUCUGGUUACAGCUACACCUAAUGGAGCAGUCCUGCAGCACCGCAUUUGCUGAAUUACUAAGCACUGUAGCUGUACAUCAAAGCCAAACGCUAGAACAAGCUGCUGUGACAGCAAUUUCGGGUUGAGUCUAUUGACCUGUUAGCUGUCCGCCCUGACUGAGGCAUCAACUACCUCACCCAUUCUGUGUACAACGUGGAGCUUCAAUACAGGGCCAGGUGGGGACCAUCCAUCAGUGUCACCACUGUGUCUAGAAGCCCUCGUGGAGACAGGAGUCGGGGAGAAACAACACUGCCCACAAUGCGUGAGCUGGGAAACAGGUUCACAUAACAUCUGAUUUGCUACUCUACCUCUCAGAUAGAGCCUUAUCUGGGAAACAGAAAUGAAGAACCCUGUCUGUCCCCUU